rnacentral:piRNA from 1 species
UCUUGAACACAAUGAGCCAGGAGCUGGUC